CCGCCCCUCCAUAGCAUUUGGCCACCGCCCCUCCCCUCAGGGGUGCCUCUAAGACUAAAAGUGGAAGCAAAGGCGUUUACCUUGCCUCCUAUCGAUGUUGACUGUCACCCGGGAAGGCCAAGAGGCGGCCCGGACUGUAUUUCCCACUAUCGGCCGCGCCUUCUGUUUUGAAAAUCCUUGCUUCCCGCCUCAGGCCUCGUCUACUGAAGCGGCCGCAUUGUCUUUGCCGGAGUCGAGGGCCUCGGGACGCGGGGCGAGGCGGGCCGGGCCUGGUGGAGCAAGCUAGGUGAGGCCGCCCCCGCGUCCUCGUCCUCUCCGGGGGCGGCUCCCCUUCCCCCCGCAGGGGGGCCGGCCUCGCGGAGGCGCGUCUAUCCCGGCGGACCCUCGGCCUCACCAGAUGACCGCCUGAGGGCCGUAAGAGACUUUUUGCAGGCAGGGAAACUGAGGCAGGCCUUUGCGACCUCUGUUUCCUCACCUGUGAAACGACGGGGUCGGAUUGGUCGCUCAGUGUUGGUGGCUAGCAGUCAAAGGAGGAGCGACUGGCUGAGGAGGAGGCCCGGGAGAAAGCUAAGAAGCUGGAGGAGGCCGAAGGGAGGUGGAAGAGGCUUCAGCAGCUCCAGGAGGAGGAAAAGCGGAGGUGCCAGGAGCAGCUGCGACGGAAGAAGAGGAGCGUCUGUGGAAGGUGGCUGAGGCCCGGAGAAUCAUGAAGCAGGAGAAGCAGCAGCUGGCCCUUGAGAGGGAGCCCGAGAAGCUGCAGGAAAAGUGGGAGCUGCAAGAGAAGAAGAGAUUACUGUGGCAA